rnacentral:rRNA from 1 species
UACGUAGGUGGCAAGCGUUGUCCGGAUUUACUGGGCGUAAAGAGCGCGCAGGCGGUCGUUCAAGUCGCGUGUGAAAGCCCCCGGCUCAACUGGGGAGGGUCACGCGAUACUGAUCGACUCGAAGGCAGGAGAGGGUAGUGGAAUUCCCGGUGUAGUGGUGAAAUGCGCAGAUAUCAGGAGGAACACCGGUGGCGAAGGCGGGUCUCUGGGCCGAUACUGACGCUGGAGGAGCGAAAGCGUGGGGAGCGAACAGG